rfam:Tribolium castaneum strain Georgia GA2 linkage group LG7, whole genome shotgun sequence.
UAAAUGGCUUUUAUGAAAGCCACUAGCAUCUCAAUCAGAUUUUUU